rnacentral:siRNA from 1 species
CUAGAGGUGUUCCUGUUGCGACA